AUUUGGAUAUUAGGUGCUAAAGGUGUCCCGUCUUCCCCCACCCUACUAUAUAAUGAUUAAACUAUAAUACCUGGUCUAUAUUUGAGAUGCAUGAGGAUAAACACUGUGUUUGGUUUGUUAUAUAUGUAAAGCUAUAAAGCCCUUUUAGUGAACAAAUGUUCUGUGUUACAUGGUACCUCCAUGCUUCAAUCGUUGCAUUCAGUGUUGCAACCAGUAUUUUAAAUGUGUGCUGAUAGGGCGAAAUUUUUAACAAACAUUUAGUGAAUAUCAAGAGAAUCGUGAAAGGAAGAUAUAGAAUCGAUGGGAGAAUCAUCUUUAUUAUGGUUCACACAACUUCAUGGGAUGACGGAAUACAAACUGUUGAAAUAGUAGCUUGAUGCCUUGUUUCAUAUCAUCAGAUAUUGGUUGCUCAAAUUAAUGCCUCAAAAUAUCUUGUUGGUAUAGUUGUAUUAAACUGCAUAAAAAUCGUAUAUACAGUCAUGUAUACAGUCACCAAUGUUAUUGUAUUCUUGUAAUGCUGCAUCAAUUGUUUAACUUCAUACAAAAGUUUCAGUGCUAUUGUGUAUAUUUUAUUGUCAUUAUUGUUGCAGUGGAUUUGCACAAAUGUAAGGGAUUAUGAAAUAUAAAAUGUUGAAAUGUUAGGUUUAUGCCCGGUUUAUUGUCAUCAUGUAUUCGGUGCUUAAGUUUUCUACAUAUUCCAACCAACUCAUCAAUGCACCAUAAUAUCUGUCGGUAUCAUGGUAGCAAACUGAGUAUAAUAUAUAUAAGAGCAUGUGCGCCACUGUUGUUUUAUUUUUGUAUGGUUGCAUCAUCUGUUUGACUUCAUCCAGUAGUUUCAGUGCUUCUAUGUGUUUUCCAUUGUCUAUUAGUGUUUUAGCACAUUUACAUAAAUGGAAUAUAAAUUGUUGAA